GAGACGGAAGGAAACAGAAACAGAAUGGCGGAGAUGAGGAGUCUAAACUGGGUUGUAAAAGCCGGAGGAAAACACGUAAAUUUAUAUUAAAAUGGGGCUGGCGUGAAGCUAUAUGCCUCAGUUAACUGGGAUUAGGAGAUGGAGGUUGCGAAGCGACAUUGGUUGCCCGUGUUGUACAUGAUGACCUGGUUCAGACUGGUAAUAGUCCAGAGUACUGUCGCUAACGUGGGGGAGAUGAGACGUUGAGGAGGUGAAUCUGAAGUUCUGCAAGGAUUCUCAUGUCCUACACGGUGCUCAAUACCAUCAUCCAUCAAUUUAAAAUAAAAAGAACGUAUCAAGAGGUGAAAAGAUAAGGAGAGAGUGAAACCCAGAUUGUGCAUUUAUUUAAUGGGUGUAACAAUCCUGGAAUGAUGUCUACAGCAGGGUUUUGAGCACAGAGAUGAAACUGACCCAAAAACGCAAGGUUGAGUUAAGAUGGAAACUGGUUUGCUUAAACAUAUGUUGGUGUUGUCUGUCUGCUUAAGCAGUUUUAAGUAACUAUCCAUAAACCACUGGCUCAUUUUGGUUUUAGUCUUGGCAAGAACACAAUGUAGAAAGGCAAUAUGAAUGAGCUUGAGUAUCCUUGCACCUGGGUACUGUAAGAUUGAUCUUGUUUGCUCCUGUGCUUCUGGUACACAAUCUAUUACUGAAGUUCAUAGUCUUAACUUCAAGGAGACAAAAUACAGACCGCUAUUGUUUUACAUUAGGAAUGAGUUAGGUAUCUAGCUUUUCAGUCAAACAAGCCUGUUUGCAUUUUAGGUAUUGGGUGAUUGAUAUCCUUAAACAAUUGAUUCAUUAUGCGCAUUCACCUUAAUACAUAAAUUCUGUCCAGCAGCUUAGUCUGUAUAUCAGCAUACAAAUUCAUAAUUGGUAUUUCAGUACCAGGCAUAUUGAUUGCAGUAUCUUACAGAUUUCAUCAUAUUUCUUUUUUCGUGUGUGGAGGAAGGAUUACUAUUCAUAUUAAAUACUGUUUUUCUUUUCCUUUAAAAGGACAGCUGUGUCGGCUCUUACUGCCAAAGAGGAUCCAAUCUGCUUAUAAUAAUUUAUUUCUAUUUUUCAUAGGUGCAGAUAAACACUAUAGAAGCUGCUUUUUUAAUUAUCUUGAAUAAUCCGAAUGUUCUUCACGAACUAAAUCAACUAUAGAAUGUUAUUGGGGAGUAGAUUGUUAUAUAAAUUACCAUCAUAGAGACAUCAUUUAAUUAGUUUCUAAUCAAUCCAUAUAUUUUCUUUCUUCUAUGAAAGAUUAGGUUAUCCAGGGAAGGACCCCUUUGAAUUACAGGGUGAACUCACAGUCCAGACAUAGCUAGUUCAAGCAUGGGCUAUGUAAUUAUCCAACUGAAACUGGGACUUCUAAAGUGCUGUGCACAAUACCAGGCACCACAAGUGUUGGGUUUGUAGUCAACCAAGAUAUUUUUGUCUUUUUCAAACAGACAUGCUUGUGUCUUGCCAGGUACUGUUGUGCCUGCAGUGUUUUUAGUAAGAUCCUCACUCUAAUGUCAUAGCAUUACUGUGGACCUGCACUGGGAGGAAAAGAACACCAGAUAACAGUACAUGUUUUAGAAUGCCUUUUUUUAAUCUAUCCAAUACUAAAAUAGGGUUUGAAGCAGUGAUCCAAAUGGAUUAAGAGCUACCAAUUCCAGAUUACUGGGAAGGGAAAAACCCGUCUGGAUUAAAUUGUUGGAUAUGUCCUUCAAGGCAUUGUAAAUGUAAAAUAAAUACUGGAAUUUAUAGAAAAUGAUGCAGUUUUGAUGGACUAUGAUAAUAAAAGUAAAGAAUAUUUCCUUUUUUA